UACGGAGGGUGCGAGCGUUAAUCGGAAUCACUGGGCGUAAAGCGCACGUAGGCGGCGCAUCAAGUCAGACGUGAAAGCCCUCGGCUCAACCGAGGAAUUGCGUUUGAAACUGGUGUGCUGGAGUCUCGGAGAGGUUGGCGGAAUUCCAGGUGUAGGAGUGAAAUCCGUAGAUAUCUGGAGGAACACCGGUGGCGAAGUCUUCCAACUUUACUAUUACUUACUCUUAUUGG
rnacentral:rRNA from 1 species